rnacentral:rRNA from 1 species
GACGUAGGGGGCUAGCGUUGUUCGGAAUUACUGGGCGUAAAGCGUACGUAGGCGGCUUUGUAAGUUAGAGGUGAAAGCCCGGGGCUCAACCCCGGAAUUGCCUUUAAGACUGCAUCGCUUGAAUCGCGGAGAGGUGAGUGGAAUUCCGAGUGUAGAGGUGAAAUUCGUAGAUAUUCGCAAGAACACCAGUGGCGAAGGCGGCUCACUGGCCCGGUACUGACGCUGAGGUGCGAAAGCGUGGGGAGCAAACAGG